UGCCAGCAGCCGCGGUAACACGUAGGUGGCAAGCGUUAUCCGGAAUUACUGGGCGUAAAGGGCACGCAGGCGGCCUAUUAAGUCUGACGUGAAAGCUCCUGGCUUAACUGGGAGAGGUCGUUGGAAACUGAGAGGCUUGAGGUAGUGAGAGGGGUGCGGAAUUCCGGGUGUAGUGGUGGAAUGCUUAGAUAUCCGGGGGAACACCAGUGGCGAAAGCGGCACCCUGGCAUUGACCUGACGCUGAUGUGCGAAAGCGUGGGUAGCGAACGGGAUUAGAUA
rnacentral:rRNA from 1 species